AAGAGCCCAGCUUGAAAAUCGGACG
rnacentral:snRNA from 1 species